rnacentral:rRNA from 1 species
CCGACGGGGUGAAUAUCCCAAGGCGCGUGAGAGAACCCUGGUUAAGGAACUCGCAAAUUGACACCGUAACUUCGGGAGAAGGUGUGCCGCUGGCGGUUAGUGACCUCGCGUCACGAAGCUGUCGGUGGUCGCAGUGAAAUGGCGGUUGUGACUGUUUACUAAAAACACAGGACUCUGCGAAGUCGUAAGACGACGUAUAGGGUCUGAUGCCUGCCCGGUGCUGGAAGGUUAAGGGGAUAUGUCAGCGCAAGCGAAGCAUUGAACCGAAGCCCCAGUAAACGGCGGCCGUAACUAUAACGGUCCUAAGGUAGCGAAAUUCCUUGUCGGGUAAGUUCCGACCUGCACGAGGGCAUAACAACAUCCGCACUGUCUCGACCAGGGACUCAGCGAAAUUACAUUGGGGGUGAAGAUGCCCUCUACCCGCGGAAAGACGGAAAGACCCCAUGAACCUUUACUGCAACUUGGCAGUGAUUUUCGGGUUGUUCUGCGUAGGAUAGGUGGGAGGCUUUGAAGCCGGGCUUCCGGGUUCGGCAGAGCCAACGUUGAAAUACCACCCUGAAUAAUCUGGAAAUCUAACCUGCGCCCAUGAUCUGGGCGAGGGACACUGCCUGGUGGGCAGUUUGACUGGGGCGGUCGCCUCCUAAAUUGUAACGGAGGCGUGCGACGGUUCCCUCAGGCUGAUUGGAAACCAGCCGUAGAGUGCAAACGCAUAAGGGAGCUUUACUGCGAGACUGACAAGUCGAACAGUUGCGAAAGCAGGUGUUAGUGAUCCGGUGGUACCACAUGGAAGGGCCAUCGCUCAUCGGAUAAAAGGUACUCUGGGGAUAACAGGCUGAUCGCGCCUGAGAGUUCACAUCGGCGGCGCGGUUUGGCACCUCGGUGUCGGCUCAUCGCAUCCUGGGGCUGGAGCAGGUCCCAAGGGUUUGGCUGUUCGCCAAUUAAAGCGGUACGCGAGCUGGGUUUAAAACGUCGUGAGACAGUUUGGUCCCUAUCUUCCGUGGGCGCAGGACACUUGAGAGGAGCUAUCCAUAGUACGAGAGGACCUGGAUGGACGAACCUCUGGUGCUCCGGUUGUCACGCCAGUGGCAUAGCCGGGUAGCCAUGUUCGGAACAGAUAACCGCUGAAGGCAUAUAAGCGGGAAGCUGGCCUCAAGACUAGGUGUCCCUGACGCAAGUCACUAAAGGCCCCUCGAAGACUACGAGGUUGAUAGGCUCGGUGUGGAAGCGCUGCGAGGCGUGGAGCUAACGAGUACUAAUAGGCCGUGCGACUUGACCUC